UUUACAUCUCAUGUUACCGAGUUGAGUUGUUCCGUAGGUAUCUGUUCCGCAUUCGGGGACAGCAGAAUGCCACUCGAAUCAGAAUGGGAACAAGUCAGAACAGUCAGCUGCUGCUGCUAAAGAGCUUCAAAAUGGUACUGCAUCAGCUAAGUAUUCCAUAGAAUCAGGAGAGAAAGAAGUGAAAAAGUUUCCAUUAGCUAAGGAUUCUUUAGGCACAAUACUGAAGGAUCUAUUCUAAAUCAUGACCCAAAUGCCAAAUGCUGGCAAUGACAGCGGGCAUGAAUAGUAAGCAGGAAGCACUUAGACAUGCAGCUUUUUCUUUUGGUUAGCUCGGCAGAAUUUUGCAACAUCAGAAGUGGGCAUGUUCAAUUUCGUUGUGGAAGUUCGAUCUCGAUCGUGC